rnacentral:lncRNA from 1 species
CAAGCGAUCCCCUCCUUCAUUACUAGCCGAUCCUCCGAUCUACCCCCUCCUGUACGAUUAACUAAUGUUAUUCUUAGAUCUUGUUUGUGAGAUUGAGAAAAAUAAAGAUAUUUAUAGAUUAUUGUAAUUUCCAUGUAUACUAAACUAUUCCAAAUACAUUAUUUUUUUUUCCAUUUUUUUAUUAUUUUCUUUGAGUGUCUUCUUUGUUCUAUCUCAUUUUCCUUCAUAUAAAUAUAAAACAGCAUAGAAUGAA